rnacentral:rRNA from 1 species
CUUAUGCGUUGUUGGGUAGGGGAGCGUUCUGUAAGCCUGCGAAGGUGGCCUGUGAGGGUUGCUGGAGGUAUCAGAAGUGCGAAUGCUGACAUAAGUAACGAUAAAGCGGGUGAAAAGCCCGCUCGCCGGAAGACCAAGGGUUCCUGUCCAACGUUAAUCGGGGCAGGGUGAGUCGACCCCUAAGGCGAGGCCGAAAGGCGUAGUCGAUGGGAAACGGGUUAAUAUUCCCGUACUUGGUGUUACUGCGAAGGGGGGACGGAGAAGGCUAUGUUGGCCGGGCGACGGUUGUCCCGGUUUAAGCGUGUAGGUGUGUGUUCCAGGUAAAUCCGGUUCACUUUAACACUGAGGCGUGACGACGAGGCACUACGGUGCUGAAGCAACAAAUGCCCUGCUUCCAGGAAAAGCCUCUAAGCAUCAGGUAACAUCAAAUCGUACCCCAAACCGACACAGGUGGUCAGGUAGAGAAUACCAAGGCGCUUGAGAGAACUCGGGUGAAGGAACUAGGCAAAAUGGUGCCGUAACUUCGGGAGAAGGCACGCUGACACGUAGGUGAAGUGAUUUACUCAUGGAGCUGAAGUCAGUCGAAGAUACCAGCUGGCUGCAACUGUUUAUUAAAAACACAGCACUGUGCAAACACGAAAGUGGACGUAUACGGUGUGACGCCUGCCCGGUGCCGGAAGGUUAAUUGAUGGGGUCAGCGCAAGCGAAGCUCCUGAUCGAAGCCCCGGUAAACGGCGGCCGUAACUAUAACGGUCCUAAGGUAGCGAAAUUCCUUGUCGGGUAAGUUCCGACCUGCACGAAUGGCGUAAUGAUGGCCAGGCUGUCUCCACCCGAGACUCAGUGAAAUUGAACUCGCUGUGAAGAUGCAGUGUACCCGCGGCAAGACGGAAAGACCCCGUGAACCUUUACUAUAGCUUGACACUGAACAUUGAGCCUUGAUGUGUAGGAUAGGUGGGAGGCUUUGAAGUGUGGACGCCAGUCUGCAUGGAGCCGACCUUGAAAUACCACCCUUUAAUGUUUGAUGUUCUAACGUGGACCCGUUACCCGGGUUGCGGACAGUGUCUGGUGGGUAGUUUGACUGGGGCGGUCUCCUCCUAAAGAGUAACGGAGGAGCACGAAGGUUGGCUAAUCCUGGUCGGACAUCAGGAGGUUAGUGCAAUGGCAUAAGCCAGCUUGACUGCGAGCGUGACGGCGCGAGCAGGUGCGAAAGCAGGUCAUAGUGAUCCGGUGGUUCUGAAUGGAAGGGCCAUCGCUCAACGGAUAAAAGGUACUCCGGGGAUAACAGGCUGAUACCGCCCAAGAGUUCAUAUCGACGGCGGUGUUUGGCACCUCGAUGUCGGCUCAUCACAUCCUGGGGCUGAAGUAGGUCCCAAGGGUAUGGCUGUUCGCCAUUUAAAGUGGUACGCGAGCUGGGUUUAGAACGUCGUG